rnacentral:rRNA from 1 species
GAGCUGGGUUUAGAACGUCGUGAGACAGUUCGGUCCCUAUCUGCCGUGGGCGCUGGAGAACUGAGGGGGGCUGCUCCUAGUACGAGAGGACCGGAGUGGACGCAUCACUGGUGUUCGGGUUGUCAUGCCAAUGGCACUGCCCGGUAGCUAAAUGCGGAAGAGAUAAGUGCUGAAAGCAUCUAAGCACGAAACUUGCCCCGAGAUGAGUUCUCCCUGACUCCUUGAGAGUCCUGAAGGAACGUUGAAGACGACGACGUUGAUAGGCCGGGUGUGUAAGCGCAGCGAUGCGUUGAGCUAACCGGUACUAAUGAACCGUGAGGCUUAACCUUACAACGCCGAAG